rnacentral:rRNA from 1 species
UACGUAGGGGGCAAGCGUUGUCCGGAAUCAUUGGGCGUAAAGAGCGUGUAGGCGGCUCGGUAAGUCCGCUGUGAAAGUCCAGGGCUCAACCCUGGAAUGCCGGUGGAAACUGUCGAGCUCGAGUCCGGAAGAGGCGAGUGGAAUUCCGUGGUGUAGCGGUGAAAUGCGCAGAUAUCAGGAGGAACACCAAUGGCGAAGGCAGCUCGCUGGGACGGUACUGACGCUGAGACGCGAAAGCGUGGGGAGCAAACAGG